rnacentral:misc_RNA from 1 species
CGCACAUUGCGCCCGCCAGUAUUCUGGCGGGCAUGCCUGUUCGAGCGUCAUUACAACCCUCAAGCCCCCCGGGCUUGGUGUUGGGGAUCGGGAUCCCGGUCGGGCUCUGCCCGCCCGCCCCGUCCCCCAAAUGCAUCGGCGGUCACGCCGCGGCCUCUUGCGCGUAGUAGCAACACCUCGCACAGGGAAGCCGCCGUGGUCCACGCCGCAAAACCCCCGACUUUCACAAAGUUGACCUCGAAUCAGGUAGGACUACCCGCUGAACUUAA